UACGUGAGGGGGCUAGCGUUGUCCGGAAUCAUUGGGCGUAAAGAGCGUGUAGGCGGCCCGGUAAGUCCGCUGUAAAAGUCAAAGGCUCAACCUUUGAAUGUCAGUGGAUACUGCCGGGCUAGAGUCCGGAAGAGGCGAGUGGAACUCCUGGUGUAGCGGUGGAAUGCGCAGAUAUCAGGAAGAACACCAACGGCGAAGGCAGCUCGCUAGGACGGUACUGACGCUGAGACGCGAAAGCGUGGGGAGCGAACAGG
rnacentral:rRNA from 1 species